GAUGAACGCUGGCGGCGUGCUUAACACAUGCAAGUCGAACGGUGAACGAGGGAGCUUGCUCCCUCCGGAUCAGUGGCGAACGGGUGAGUAACGCGUGAGCAAUCUGCCCUGGACUCUGGGAUAAGCGUUGGAAACGACGUCUAAUACCGGAUACGAGGCGUGGGGGCAUCCCCAACGCCUGGAAAGAACUUCGGUCCAGGAUGAGCUCGCGGCCUAUCAGCUUGUUGGGGAGGUAACGGCUCACCAAGGCGACGACGGGUAGCCGGCCUGAGAGGGUGACCGGCCACACUGGGACUGAGACACGGCCCCGACUCCGACGGGAGGCAGCAGUGGGGAAUAUUGCACAAUGGGCGCAAGCCUGAUGCAGCAACGCCGCGUGAGGGACGACGGCCUUCGGGUUGUAAACCUCUUUUAGCAGGGAAGAAGCGAAAGUGACGGUACCUGCAGAAAAAGCACCGGCUAACUACGUGCCAGCAGCCGCAGUAAGAC
rnacentral:rRNA from 1 species